AGAGCGAACGCUGGCGGCAGGCCUAACACAUGCAAGUCGAGCGCCCGUAGCAAUACGGGAGCGGCAGACGGGAGAGUAACACGUGGGAACGUACCCUUCAGUUCGGAAUAACCCAGGGAAACUUGGACUAAUACCGAAUACGUCCGUAAGGAGAAAGAUUUAUCGCUGAAGGAUCGGCCCGCGUCUGAUUAGCUUGUUGGUGAGGUAACGGCUCACCAAGGCGACGAUCAGUAGCUGGUCUGAGAGGAUGAUCAGCCUCACUGGGACUGAGACACGGCCCAGACUCCUACGGGAGGCAGCAGUGGGGAAUAUUGGACAAUGGGCGCAAGCCUGAUCCAGCCAUGCCGCGUGGAUGAUGAAGGCCCUAGGGUUGUAAAGUCCGUUUCGGCGGGGAAGAGUAAUGACGGUACCCGCAGAAGAACGCCCGGCUAACGUUCGUGCCAGCAGCCGC
rnacentral:rRNA from 1 species